CAAUAGCGUAUAUUAAAGUUGUUGCAGUUAAAAAGCUCGUAGUUGGAUUUCUGCUGAGGACGAUCGGUCCGCCCACUGGGUGAGUAUCUGGCUCGGCCUUGGCAUCUUCUUGGAGAACGUUGCUGCACUUGACUGUGUGGCGCGGUAUCCAGGACUUUUACUUUGAGGAAAUUAGAGUGUUUCAAGCAGGCGCACGCCUUGAAUACAUUAGCAUGGAAUAAUGAGAUAGGACCUUGGUUCUAUUUUGUUGGUUUCUAGAGCUGAGGUAAUGAUUAAUAGGGAUAGUUGGGGGCAUUCGUAUUUAACUGUCAGAGGUGAAAUUCUUGGAUUUGUUAAAGACGGACUACUGCGGAAGCAUUUGCCAAGGAUGUUUUCAUUGA
rnacentral:rRNA from 1 species